rnacentral:tRNA from 1 species
ACCCCGAACGGCUAGCUCAGUCGGUAGAGCAUGAGACUCUUAAUCUCAGGGUCAUGGGUUCGUGCCCCAUGUUGGGCG